rnacentral:rRNA from 1 species
AUUGAACGCUAGCGGGAUGCUUUACACAUGCAAGUCGAACGGCAGCGCGGACUUCGGUCUGGCGGCGAGUGGCGAACGGGUGAGUAAUGUAUCGGAACGUGCCCAGUAGCGGGGGAUAACUACGCGAAAGCGUAGCUAAUACCGCAUACGCCCUGCGGGGGAAAGCCGGGGAUCGUAAGACCUUGCACUAUUGGAGCGGCCGAUAUCGGAUUAGCUAGUUGGUGAGGUAAAGGCUCACCAAGGCGACGAUCCGUAGCUGGUUUGAGAGGACGACCAGCCACACUGGGACUGAGACACGGCCCAGACUCCUACGGGAGGCAGCAGUGGGGAAUUUUGGACAAUGGGGGCAACCCUGAUCCAGCCAUCCCGCGUGUGCGAUGAAGGCCUUCGGGUUGUAAAGCACUUUUGGCAGGAAAGAAACGUCGCGGGCUAAUACCCCGUGGAACUGACGGUACCUGCAGAAUAAGCACCGGCUAACUACGUG